CGGACAUGUAAGUGCUCCGAGUAGGUGUGAGAGCCGUGUAGGUGGCUCUCUCGCUUAGGCGGAGGUCGAGGAAGCGGGGUCGCUGACGUCCCCAGUCUGACGCCGAGCGGCUGAUCUCCGACCGAACCACGGGCGAGAGAACCACGUUACGUUAAGUGCGAUUGGAUGUUGCGAAGCACUUUCGUACCACGGAAAAGAUCAAUGACGUGUCGGGAAUAGCGCCAAGGCGACCUGAGACCGAACGUAGCGAGUCACGUCAGAAUGCAAGCAAGGAAUUUCACCGUACGAGAAGAUAGCUUUCAGGACGACUAGGAUCAUCAUCGCCCAAGAGCUACCAAUAAACACGAAGAGGGAAACAUUUUUCCGUCGCAUCUUUCAGCGUCUAUCUCACAACACUCGUAAGGACAACUCGUGACAGGUUUUCGGACAGAUUUCUCCGCUCAUCGGAUAAAAAAUAUACAUCUCAAAGGGUGUCCAUUAUUCAUUCGAACACAUGUUCAGUCAGCCAGCGAAACAAGAUAGUUUUAGAUAGCAGAGUCCUCAGAGAAACAAUAUCUGUAUUUAAUUAACUGUAAUGAUAUGCAUAAUUAUUAUUUUUUAUAUAAUAACACAAAAAAAUUAUUAUAG